UCCCUGGUGGACUAGUGGCUAGCAUGCGGCACUCAGUUGCUGCAGUCCGGGUUCGAUUCCCGGUCAGGAAA